UCCUGACAAACGACGCACCCCCGCCGCUCGUCUCCCCCGCUCGCUCCCCUGCUCGGCUCCCCGCGCCGGAGCUCUCCCGCGCAGCUUCCUCGAGCGUCGCCGGAGCUCCCCCUCCUUGGUCCCCUCCGCCGCUUUGCUUUCCCGCGCCCAAGGCUCGUUUUUUCCCGAUCUGCUCUCCGCCGGACGAGGACGCGCCCUUCCCCGAUGGUGGCGAGCCGGAGCUGGCCCUUCCCGGCGUUGAACUCGUCCACAUCGCCGUCAACCUCGUCCCUGCCAACCUCACCGCCAACCUCGUCGACCUCGCCGCCAACCUCAUCCAGCUCGCCGCCAACCUCGUCGGACGGCAGAAGCUCUCCACUUUCCCCCUACGGCAGAAGCUCUCCCCCACUCCCGCCCCCGCAAAGACAGAGUAAAGAUUCUUCUAUGAUCAAUGCAAAGACUAAUGGAGAUAAUGGCUAGUGCAAAGGAGUCUAUUUGGAUAGUGGAAGGGGAAUCAGAUUGCCUCGGGGGACAAAUUUGACUAAGGAGCAGCAGCAGUAGCACAAGGAGCAACUCCUUACAGUACAAUUUUGGAGUACUCUUGGUGUAAAUCAACUUCGCUAAUUUUCAGGUUCAGAUCAAUCAGCCACAAUCGGUCCAUUUUUCAGGAAGUACCUGCAGUCAACAGCAGUGGCAGAGGCAGUCGCCGAUAGCAGCAGGAGAUGCAGUCGCCAACAGCAGUAGCAGGUCCGCGCGGACUCGAUCGGGCGGGCUGCAGCGGCAGCAGUAGGUGGCGGGCGACGGCAGCGGCAGCAACAGGUCCCGCCACCGGGGAAGACCCGCGUGGCCCUGCCUGCCGAAGUCAGCGAGAGGGGAACGACGUCUGGGGUUGCCGCAGGCGCGAGGAACCGGCGCCGGCGAGGAGCGCGACGAGGAGGAGGUGCCCGUCGAGGUGGUCGCCUUGGAGGAGCAGCCGCAGUCGGGGUCGGGCUCCUCGAUGACGCAGGCGGCGCCGGCGCUGGAGGCGAUGCUGCUGCCCCGCUCGCCGGCCGUGCUCGAGCCCCUCGAUCUCCUCCCUCCUCCGGGACGCGGCCGUGCUGCUCCUCGGUGAUCCUGGACGCGGACGCGGCCGUCCUCCUCAGCGAUCCCGUGGCCGACGGCGGCGGCGAAGUCCGCGGGCAGGUCAGCGGGGCGGAGGGAGAGCGCGGCCGGGGCCGGACGGUGGACGGAUCGGGCGACGAAGGAAGGAGGA